GUUCGCAAUAGGUCUGGGCGGGGGGAAGAAAGGGGAGAUAAAAGGGAGGGAGGGACGAGAGGGGGGAAGAGAAUCAGAAGGAAAACGAAGGGGGAAACAUGAAAAAUAGCAACCUGCCCACCCCACCUAGUACGCGUCGGGUUGCUCACCCCCUUACCCCCGCCCCGCCAGAGAUUUGUAAAGCGCGCGGCACGGAUGUACCAUUCAAGCUAAUACCUAUAGACAGAUGUGUCCCCAGUGGUUUCAAAGUUUCCUCUUCCCUUCACCAGCCGGCCCCCUUCUCUGAUCGGCGGGGGUGGGAAGCGGGGGCUCGCAUCGCCAAGAGCUCUGGUCGUGGCCACGCUCCUUGGAAAUCCGCCACCGCAACUUUCCGCAGCCGUUGCGCGCCGGCGGCAGCCCCCUUUGUUUAAGUUCUCGGAUGCCAUCAUCUGGGAAACCUGCAGCCCAGGACCAGCGCGGUGCCCGCGCGUGCGAGACGGACCGCUCGCUGCCGCCGCUCCCUGGCUCCUCCACCCCCUCUCUCCCUCCUUCGCUCUCCCUCCCUUCCUCCCUCCUCCCUCCUCUGGGAUUCGUGCAAGUAGCGUGCGUGCCCUUGUGAGUUUGGAGGGUGCCGGUCAGCGGAGCCGUGCGAUGUAUUUGAAAAGCAAUCAGUCCGACCUUCCCCCAUAGAUUCAUCCUAAAUUGCAGAGGGUCCCAGUUUCAUUCAUUCUCCCUCACAGGGAAGGCAUUCUCUUCCUCUUCCUCCAGCUGCCUGAAAAUCAUAUGCGUGGUUUUUCCUGUUUCCUGCUCUGUAGCUGACAUCAGGGGAGCAACGUGAACACAGGAAAAUGGAAAUCAACAUUUGAAACUUUUAAAUGGAAGCUUUAUUGGGGUUCCACAUAUGGAAAACUGCAAAUAGCAGAAGUAUGUGACUCAAUAAAUUAUUCUGGAGUGACCACAUCCUCUAACUGCCUCCCAGGACAAGACGGAGAAUGUGAACAAUGCUCCUGAAGGCCCCUUUCCCUCAAAGAAUCACUGCAAUUGAAGGAAAAAUGCUCCAUGUCCCCUCUGCCAGUUGGUGUUUAUCAAAGGACAACGGAGGAAGAGAGACAAAGUGCCUGGAUGUGUGUGUUAAUCAAGAGUUGUCAGGACCCUGCCUCUAAAAGAAAGCGCUAAAAUGAUGCUUUUGACAAGACUUUUCUCAAAGUGGAUGCAGUCUAAGGGUUGGAAAACAAGGCCCAAUCAGGCUAGGUCUGACUUGUCGCCUGCUUUUGUAAAUAAAGUUUUAUUGGCU
rnacentral:lncRNA from 1 species